rnacentral:rRNA from 1 species
AUUGAACGCUAGCGGGAUGCCUUACACAUGCAAGUCGAACGAGUGGCGGACGGGUGAGUAAUGUAUGGGAAACUGCCCGAUGGAGGGGGAGAACUACUGGAAACGGUAGCUAAUACCGCAUACCAUCGGAUGUGCCCAGAUGGGAUUAGCUAGUAGGUGGGGUAACGGCUCACCUAGGCGACGAUCCCUAGCUGGUCUGAGAGGAUGACCAGCCACACAGGAACUGAGACACGGUCCAGACUCCUACGGGAGGCAGAAGUGGGGAAUAUUGCACAAUGGGCGCAAGCCGGAUGCAGCCAUGACGAGUGUAUGAGGAAGGCCUUCGGGUUGUAAAGUACUUUCAGCGAGGAUGCGUUACUCGCAGAAGAAGCACCGGCUAACUCCGUGCCAGCAGCCGCGGUAAUAC